rnacentral:rRNA from 1 species
GAUGAACGCUGGCGGCGUGCCUAAUACAUGCAAGUCGAGCGAACAGAUGAGAAGCUUGCUUCUCUGAUGUUAGCGGCGGACGGGUGAGUAACACGUGGGUAACCUACCUAUAAGACUAGGAUAACUCCGGGAAACCGGGGCUAAUACCGGAUAAUAUUUUGAACCGCAUGGUUCAAUAGUGAAAGACGGUUUCGGCUGUCACUUAUAGAUGGACCCGCGCCGUAUUAGCUAGUUAGUAAGGUAACGGCUUACCAAGGCGACGAUACGUAGCCGACCUGAGAGGGUGAUCGGCCACACUGGAACUGAGACACGGUCCAGACUCCUACGGGAGGCAGCAGUAGGGAAUCUUCCGCAAUGGGCGAAAGCCUGACGGAGCAACGCCGCGUGAGUGAUGAAGGUCUUCGGAUCGUAAAACUCUGUUGUUAGGGAAGAACAAAUUUGUUAGUAACUGAACAAGUCUUGACGGUACCUCACCAGAAAGCCACGGCUAGCUACGUGCCAGCAGCCGCAGUAA